UUAAUCUGCACAUCUGCCUCAACCCUAAAUGUCGAUAAAUGAUUGCCGUGCCCUUUUACAGAACUAAUAGGCACAAACACAUUCAAUGCACACAUUUCCAUCCCUGAGAAAUCUAAGACCAAUUAUCAGUUGAUCUCAGGAGAGAACGCUGUUCUUCUUUUACAAAGUGGACAGAAAAACACAGCAUGCCCUUAGAACUUCCUACACAGUAUUAAAUAAGGCACUUUGUGCCCCUUAAAUCCUCCUACACGAUACUUGAACACAAAUGCUAGAUUGUUUCCCCUAGUUUGAAACCCUCCCAAACAACAGGAAAAAAAAGCCAGGAAAAUGUGGGAAAGAUAGUGAUAAGGAAACUCAUGGAGAUUAUUGUGGGUUGAUUCCUGGAUUUAAAUUCUAGAGGGUUGUUGGUAUCAAGCAUCAGAAAAAGACGGAGCAUCUCCCAAACACGUUUGCCAAGACUGCGCUGACCUCCAUUCUAACAAUUUAGCACUCUGUGGAGAGACCACUCUUCAAAUCCAGAAUAUUCUCCAGAGAACUGUCACAAUGAAAACUGCUGUUCUGUCUUGGUGCCUUUUCAACAUCGCCUUUGCCUUACCGAUUCCUUAUGGAACUUCGUCACAUGCUAAUGCCUUGAAGAAAUCAAAAAUAGAGCAGAACUCCCUUUCGGAUUUGAAUUAUGACACCAAGAAGCACAAGGAUCCAGCUUCUUCAGCUGCUCCAGGACUAGCCUCACCUACAGAGGCCCUACUUGAUUCAUCUGCUCAAAUGGUGCCUUCAUAUAGACAGGACUUUCUUCUAGAUAUAAGUGAUGACCCCAGAGACCAGAAGGUAAAGAGGAAGCCAUUUGCUACAUUUGGGAGAUUCUAAAGUUGGUUGUUGCAAAUAUUCAAAACAUUCUGAAUGGUCCUUAAUUCAAACUCGUGGCGUGACAAAGUCACUUAACUUACUCAGGUGUGAGUCAUGAAUAUAUAUGGCAACCCAUAGACUUGAGCUACAGAAGUGAGCUUUGAGCCAGCAUCCUGCCUCCUCUCCAUCUCUUUUGUAUUUAUACCCACUGAUUCUGUCUCCUGAGAUCAAACAUUAUGAUAUGGCCAGCACACGAUUAGACGACAAUAACACAUUUCCCCUCCAGAGAUGUAAUUUCUUCGAAGUUCUACACUUGAGGAAUCCACUUGGAAAAGGAAGCCUCUAUUUAUCUCCUAAUUACCAAUCACAAAACAGAGCAGACUUAAUUGUAAUGGUAACAAGGCUCAUGCUGGGAUAAACAUGUAUCUCUUAAAAUA
ensembl:lncRNA